AGAGGAAGCAGAGCAGUAGCCUGGCAGUUUUCUCCGGGCUCCUUUGAAUUUCCUCAACCUGCUUCAGCAGAAUGUCACAGAAAAUUAACUCUCCUGGGUUAUUAGGAACCCUUUCCCCUCCCCCUCCCCUCUGAAAAGCAAUACAUGAUUUCAGGCUAAUAUUUACCCCAAUCACAAGCAGCACCUUGCCACGCCCGGGGUAAGACAGCAGCAGGCACUGGACACAGGCCCAGCACGACACCCGCCGCCCGGAACCACUCGGAUGAAGGAGACCCUUCUGCGCCACAGCGUCAGUCUUUCAGGGAAUUGUGUUGGAGAACUCUGCUACCCAUAUUGCAUUCACCAGGAGAUGGCACUUAUUGGAAUGAACCAAGAUCUCUUAUUGUUGGGUUUUGUCUGAUGGAAAGAAGAAGUGGAGAGAGCAAACCAUCCUCUUCAGAGAAGACAUGUGGGCUUGGAGAACAUUCAAAGGAAUGUGAAGAUUAGACCUGAACUAUUCUGGCUGAUUUAUAGAAAAAUACAUG